GAUGAACGCUGGCGGCGUGCCUAAUACAUGCAAGUCGAGCGAACGGACGAGAAGCUUGCUUCUCUGAUGUUAGCGGCGGACGGGUGAGUAACACGUGGAUAACCUACCUAUAAGACUGGGAUAACUUCGGGAAACCGGAGCUAAUACCGGAUAAUAUUUUGAACCGCAUGGUUCAAAAGUGAAAGACGGUCUUGCUGUCACUUAUAGAUGGAUCCGCGCUGCAUUAGCUAGUUGGUAAGGUAACGGCUUACCAAGGAAACGAUGCAUAGCCGACCUGAGAGGGUGAUCGGCCACACUGGAACUGAGACACGGUCCAGACUCCUACGGGAGGCAGCAGUAGGGAAUCUUCCGCAAUGGGCGAAAGCCUGACGGAGCAACGCCGCGUGAGUGAUGAAGGUCUUCGGAUCGUAAAACUCUGUUAUUAGGGAAGAACAUAUGUGUAAGUAACUGUGCGCAUCUUGACGGUACCUAAGCAGAAAGCCACGGCUAACUACGU
rnacentral:rRNA from 1 species